rnacentral:rRNA from 1 species
UGCUAUUAUUCUUUAGUACUGCCCCGGAUGACGACUGGGCAGGAAGUCGGCGGAACUAGUCCGCCAAGGCUAAAUACUCAAUAUCACCGAUAGUGAACUAGUACCGUGAGGGAAAGGUGAAAAGCAGCCCGGUGAGGGCGAUGAAAUAGUACCUGAAACCAUACGCUUACAAGGAGACGGAGUCCCUCCCCACUUUUACUUUAGAAUUAGAAGUGAGUUUAGUCCUAUUCAACUGAAUAGAACUAGUUGUCAUACAAAAAAUUCUAGUGUAAAAGUGGGGAUGGAUGACGUCGUGCCUAUUGAAGAAUGAGCCAACGAGUUUUUGGAUUUUACUGUCUAAGUGCCGAAAGGCACGCAGGCACAGCGAAAGCGAGUGUUAAUAGCGCGUCCUAAAUCUUAGUUUUUAUCUGUCAGAUUUUAGGGUAUAAAAAAGUCGAACUAUUUUUUAGUUCGGCUUGAGGGUCCAUCCAGCCAUUCAAAGAGCCAAACGAUUGGCAGGCCGACUGCGAUGAUUACGAUGAACAGUGCAACGAGGCUGAAAAACCAGAUGAGAAAAUCGACCAUCUUUUUCUUUGGGGAUGGGCACUCAAUACAGUUUAACCCAUUUGAGAAGAAAGUAAAGUAUCCUAAAAUCUGGCAGGUAUCGACUAUGGUUUAAAAGUAGAAUUCAAAAGACCCGAAACCUGAUGAGCUUGCCAUGAGCAGGUUGAACCACACCGAAAGGUGUGGGGAGGACCGAACCCGUUGGUCGUACAACGCCUUGGGAUGACUUGUGGUAAGGAGUGAAAAGCUAAUCGAAUCAGGAAAUAGCUGGUUGUCUCCGAAAUAGUUUUUGGACUAGCCUCGGAUCACACUUUUAGGGAGGUAGAGCACUGGAUGGUCUGUAAUUGUAGCAAUACAGGCAGACUAAUCAAACUCCGAAUGCCCUACAUUUUAUUCCGGGAGUCAGUACGCGGGGGCUAAGCUCCGCGGUACAUGAGGGGAAGAGCCCAGAUCACAAACUAAGGCCCCUAAAUCCAUGCUCAGUGGUAAAGGCGGUGGAAUUUCUCAAACAGCAAGGAGGUUGGCUUAGAAGCAGCCAUCCUUUAAAGAGUGCGUAACAGCUCACUUGUCAAGAGAUUCUGCGCCGAAAAUUCAACGGGGCUAAGCAUGGUGCCGAAGUUGUGGGUUUGAUCUCAAUUCGUUGAGGUCAAGCGGUAGGAGACCAUUUCAAGUGCAGUGAAGGAAGAUCCGCGAGGGCUUCUGGAGCGCUUGGAAGAGAGAAUGUUGGCACAAGUAACCACAAGACAGGUGAAAGCCCUGUCCGCCGAAAAUCCAAGGUUUCCUUGGCAAUGACAAUCAUCCAAGGGUUAGUCGGUCCUAAGGUGAUGGCGAAAGCCGAAGCUGAUGGACAGCUGGUUAAUAUUCCAGCACUGGGUAUAUGAUCGAUGGCGCGACGGAGCGUAGUAUGCCGGGCACAUUAUUGGAUUUGUGUCUGGGCGGUCACGAUAGCGUUGAGGCAAAUCCCGACGCAGGGGUAAAUCCCGGAUCAACGCCGCAUGGAAAUCUGGCGGGGCAACCCAAAAGAGAUCUGGCAAAAAGCGCUUUCAAGAAAAACGUCUAAGAAUAUUAUGUACUCAACCGUACCGGAAACCGACACAGGUGGAUUGGUCGAGUAGACCAAGGCGAACGAGUGAGUCUUCGUGAAGGAACUAGGCAAAAUAGCGGCCGUAAGUUCGCAAUAUGGCCUUCCCUCCCCAGUUUUGAUUUAACAAGGUAAAAUUAUGUUUACAGUGUAGGUGAUUCAAAAUGAUGUUUCUUUGGAGAAGUAUAUUGGUGUAACUAAAAAUCUUGCAAAAAGGUUGGAAGAGCAUAAUCAAGGUGGAAAAAAAUUUACAACCAGAAAAAAUGGGAUGUGGAUCCUUGUGUAUGCGGAAGCAUAUCUAUCAGAAAGUGAUGCGUUGCUCAGAGAAAAAAGAUUAAAACAUCAUGCGAGUGGAAAAAUUGAAUUGUUGAAGCGGCUUAAACAUAGUUUAUUAGUUUGAGGUCAAAACUGGGGAGGGACGCAGCUAAAGAAUCUCUAGCGACUGUUUACCAAAAACACAGGUCCCUGCUAACUCGUAAGAGGAUGUAUAGGGGCUGACGCCUGACCGAUGCGAGAAGGUUAAAAUUUGCGGUCUGGGUGCUUUACUGCAUUCCGGCUAGUGGAUUCAAGCCCUCGUCAAUGUCAGCCGUAACUAUAAGGUAACCGUUGUAGUUAUAAAAUUUGACUAUUUGCUGGAAACCCCGCGUAUGCAGAAAUACUGGAAUAAAAAUUUCAGUGACAAUUUUCUGACGGUGCGGACAAUCAGCAGGAAAGACUCCGAUGUAAAUCGGAGAAUCCUCAGAGACUAUACGUCAAACAUCAUCGCGAGUGAUGAAGAUAUAGUCCGAUCUCAUGGGCGACCAUGAGUCCGCGAGGAGCGGAGCGCGCAGGCGUUAACACAAAGAACGGUUCUAAGGUGAAUUAUACUGCCUUAGUAAAAUCUAGCUAUAUCGGUGAACAUCUCAUAAGCGAAUGAGACAAUACCGAGGAAAGUUUUUCUUUUAGAAUGUAGAAUAGUUAUUACUUAUUAACUAAGCUUACUUUUAAAAGAAAUAACUCCGUAGAGACUACACGCUGGAAUGUUUUGUAUUCGUAUCAUUCGCAUGUCAUUCGUAUAUUGGUAUCGCGAGCGAGCGAAGCGAGCAUAAGAUAUAGUCCGAACUCCAUGGCGACAUGGAGAGAUAGGCAGAAAUGUCCUAUCCAAGUUUUUAGCGCCAAUGGCUAACAACUAGUAACAAAUUGAGCGCAAUUCCU